rnacentral:rRNA from 1 species
GACGAACGCUGGCGGCGUGCUUAACACAUGCAAGUCGAACGGUGAAGCGCCUUCCUUUUUGGUGGGUGUGGAUGAGUGGCGAACGGGUGAGUAACACGUGAGUAACCUGCCCCCUUCUUCUGGAUAACCGCAUGAAAGUGUGGCUAAUACGGGAUAUUCUGGGUCUGUCGCAUGAUGGGUCUGGGAAAGAUAUUGUUUCGGUGGGGGAUGGGCUCGCGGCCUAUCAGCUUGUUGGUGGGGUGAUGGCCUACCAAGGCGGUGACGGGUAGCCGGCCUGAGAGGGUGGACGGUCACACUGGUACUGAGACACGGCCCAGACUCCUACGGGAGGCAGCAGUGGGGAAUAUUGCACAAUGGGCGCAAGCCUGAUGCAGCGACGCCGCGUGAGGGAUGGAGGCCUUCGGGUUGUGAACCUCUUUCGCCAGUGAAGCAGGCCUGCCUCGUUUGUGGGUGGGUUGACGGUAGCUGGAGAAGAAGCGCCGGCUAACUACGUG